rnacentral:rRNA from 1 species
GACGAACGCUGGCGGCGUGCUUAACACAUGCAAGUCGAACGCUGAAGCUCAGCUUUUGUUGGGUGGAUGAGUGGCGAACGGGUGAGUAACACGUGAGUAACCUGCCUCCUUCUUUGGGAUAACGCCCGGAAACGGGUGCUAAUACUGGAUAUUCACUGGUCUUCGCAUGGGGGUUGGUGGAAGGGGUUUUUCUGGUGGGGGAUGGGCUCGCGGCCUAUCAGCUUGUUGGUGGGGUGAUGGCCUACCAAGGCUUUGACGGGUAGCCGGCCUGAGAGGGUGACCGGUCACAUUGGGACUGAGAUACGGCCCAGACUCCUACGGGAGGCAGCAGUGGGGAAUAUUGCACAAUGGGCGCAAGCCUGAUGCAGCGACGCCGCGUGAGGGAUGGAGGCCUUCGGGUUGUGAACCUCUUUCGCUCAUGGUCAAGCCGCAACAAUGGUUGUGGUGAGGGUAGUGGGUAAAGAAGCGCCGGCUAACUACGUG